AGUGCCUUCCGUGAAGUUGCUCGCCGGGUCGUUGGGCCCUGUCGACCUGUAGGCGGGCGAGCGAGCCAGCGGACAAGACUGCGGGUGAGGCUGAGCUAGCGAGCGGCCGGCAGGGGGGGCGCCCGGGCUGCGAGCCGCUGAGCCCAGCCGCGCUGCCGCCGCCGGCCGUCGUGGGGCCGGAAUGGCGCAAGGCCGGAGUGGCGCGGGCGCUCGGCGCUGGGCUGCCGGGUAGAGUCCUGUCCCCGCCCCUCGCCUUGCGGCCUGACGCCGGCCGCUGCUGCCCGGGGACCGGAGCGGCGGGCCGCCUUUGCCCAGGACACACGCUCUGGCGUUUGUUCCUUUGGGCGUGACGCCAGCUUCAACGGGUACGCGGCUUUCCCGACGGGUGCUGAUCUCCGAGUCGCUGUUGUCACGCGGACUGCUGUCCUCCAGAUUCAGGCCGGUGGGUCUGGGGAGCCCGGAUUGGUCUUGGAGGAGCAACGGCUGCGCAGGUACAAAACUCAAAACAUGAACAACAAUAUAUAUUACCAAUCUUCAAACCUGGUUUGCCUAGAACUGGAAUACAGUUGCCUGCGACAUAUUUUAGAAGAACUAGAAAAGUCAAAGUAAUGGAUAACAGAAAAGAGCCUCCAUUCUUCAAUGAUGAUAACAUGGGACCAUUUUACUACAGACUUCAUUUCUGUGAUACCAUGGAGCUCUUCAUUGAAACAUUAACUGGAACAUGUUUUGAGCUGAGAGUUUCACCUUUUGAAACUGUUAUUUCUGUGAAAGCAAAAAUUCGAAGAUUGGAAGCAUUUCAGAAGGGUGUACCUUGAAGCUAGUUUUGGCUAUGCGUGGCGGACCUAUAAAUACUAGAAGAGUUCCUACAGACGAUCCACUUAGGAAGAUGGCAGAGUACUUGGAUUCCAGUCGAGUUGAGG
rnacentral:lncRNA from 10 species